ACAUCUUUAGCUUAAUUAGGUAGAGUAUUUGUCUUCGAAACAAUAAGAUGUAGGUUCAAUUCCUACAAGAUGUC
rfam:Hebeloma cylindrosporum h7 unplaced genomic scaffold scaffold_62, whole genome shotgun sequence.